rnacentral:rRNA from 1 species
CCUUAUGCAUGCAAGUCGAGCAAAGCUUUUCAGUAGUUUACUACAGAAAAUGACUGAGCGGCGAACGGGUGAGUAACGCGUGAGCAAUCUACCUUAGUUACAGGGAUAGCCCGAGGAAACUCGGAUUAAUACCUGAUAUUCUUUAUUUCUCGCAUGAGAAUAAAAGGAAAGGUCAGCCGAACUAAGAUGAGCUCGCGUUCUAUCAGCUAGUUGGUGAGGUAAAAGCUUACCAAGGCUACGACGGAUAGCUGGUCUGAGAGGACGAUCAGCCACACUGGGACCGAGACACGGCCCAGACUCCUACGGGAGGCUGCAGCAGGGAAUAUUGUGCAAUGAACGAAAGUUUGACACAGCGACACCGCGUGUGGGAUGACGGAUCUAGGUUUGUAAACCACUUUCAGGAGGGAAGAAAAUGACGGUACCUCCACAAGAAGCCCCGGCCAACUACGUGCCAGCAGCCGCGGUAAUACGUAGGGGGCGAGCGUUGUCCGGAUUUAUUGGGCGUAAAGAGCUCGUAGGCGGUUCAACAAGUCGGUCGUGAAAGUUCAGGGCUCAACCCUGAAAUGUCGAUCGAUACUGUUGUGACUAGGAUACGGUAGAGGUGAGUGGAAUUCCGAGUGUAGCGGUGAAAUGCGUAGAUAUUCGGAGGAACACCAAUUGCGAAGGCAGCUCACUGGGCCGCUAUCGACGCUGAGGAGCGAAAGCUAGGGGAGCAAACAGGAUUAGAUACCCUGGUAGUCCUAGCUGUAAACGAUGGAUACUAGAUGUAGGAACUGGAUUGACGGUUUCUGUAUCGCAGCUAACGCGUUAAGUGUCCCGCCUGGGGAGUACGGUCGCAAGACU